rnacentral:rRNA from 1 species
UUCAAGGAGGGCGGUGCUAUACAUGCAGUCGAGCGGACAGAUGGGAGCUUGCUCCCUGAUGUUAGCGGCGGACGGGUGAGUAACACGUGGGUAACCUGCCUGUAAGACUGGGAUAACUCCGGGAAACCGGGGCUAAUACCGGAUGGUUGUUUGAACCGCAUGGUUCAAACAUAAAAGGUGGCUUCGGCUACCACUUACGGAUGGACCCGCGGCGCAUUAGCUAGUUGGUGAGUAUGGCUCACCAAGGCAACCAUGCGUUGCCGACCUGAGAGGGUGUUCGGCCCCACUGGUUCUGAUCCCCGCUCCUGACUCCAUGGUACGCCAUGCACGAAUCUUCCGGCUGAAUCACAGUCCGACCGAUAACGGCGCUUUUACCUAAUUUCCCUAUCCUCAUCUCCCUUCCGCCAGAUAACAC